AAAAUGACUCUCGGCAACGGAUAUCUCGGCUCUUGCAUCGAUGAAGAACGUAGCGAAAUGCGAUACUUGGUGUGAAUUGCAGAAUCCCGUGAACCAUCGAGUCUUUGAACGCAAGUUGCGCCCGAAGCCAUUAGGCCGAGGGCACGCCUGCCUGGGUGUCACG
rnacentral:rRNA from 1 species